CCUCCCCUGGGGCCCCCAGAAGCCCGCUUGCCCAGCAGCCUCACCCGACCCCAAAGUAGUCCCAGAACAUGACCGUGAUGUGGUUGGGGAAGCUUCUGUUGAUAUCUAGAUCUAUCUGUUUGAUGUCCUGGGAGGAGACCUGGGCCGCCUCCUUCAUUUCCUGUGGCGAAAACCGGGGAGGAGGAGCCAGCAUCAGGGACACAGAACACUAACUGUCACCAACUGUCAUCCUAAGCAGGAGCUCUGCUGGUCACCGUGUCCACUUCUACGAGGACCUUGUCGAAGGAGGCACGAGUUGAUGGCAAGCCAGAAGGGGGCCCUGCAGGCAUUCUUCCAGGAGAACCCUUACCCUGGAUCGCUGCCAGAGAACACCUGGCCCAAGAACUGGCCAUACCUGAGUCCAGAAUCCAGGGGAGAGGAAGCCUGCGCAAGGGUCCAAUUGUGAUGAGAAUGACACCCAUUUCCAGCGUCUUCUUGUGUCAAAGUCUCCUCAGCUCCCUCAGGGGACUGCAGCAGGAACCCCAUCAUCUGUCCAUGCAGAUGACCAAAGAAGAAAUGACUUUUCUACCAACACCAUCCAUUGUGUGUUUCCCUACAGUUUACGCUCCUCAGGGGAGACCAACGCCUUCUUCCUUGUACACCAAAGGGCCAUGCAAAUACAUGUAACAAUGUCUGGUGCCAAAACCAGUGAAGGAUACAGCGAAGGCAGAGCCGCUGACUGGGCUCCACAAUCCGCCAAGGAGAAGGGCCACUGCGUGGACAGGAAGAGCCUCCAGGUCGAGUCCGAAGGAAGGCAGGAAAAAACUGACAUCCAUUUCUGCAUCACAAACCAGUAUCUUCCUUCAAGCCUUUGAGGAGGAGCGGUUUCCUGGCAUUGCUAUGAGGGAGAGCCCAGCCAGAAGAACAGGCAUUCCAGUAGCCAGAAUUCAGCAUCUACUGGCAGCCCCGCAGAAACCUUCAGGACUGUCGGAGCCCUGGCCUGGGGGUGUGAGUGAGGAGCACCUCUCCAAUUCACUCCAGACCAGACCAUCCUCCUAUAGAAAGCAGGCUAUCAUCCCAGAGCCCCUCACCUCUGGAGUCCUUGCUGAAGGACAGGACACCCCCCAACCCAAUUCAGGAGGCACACACCUGGCCCUCCCCACAGCAGGUAUGGAGGCCACUUCUCUGAGUGCCCAGGGGCUGGCUUCCAGGCCAAGCUCCCUUCCUACCCACUUCCUUGGUUUGCCUCCUGGGUCUCUCAGCUCCAGCCCAGCGAAGACAUCGCCUUCAGAGGGCUCCAGGGAACGAGGUCCUGACCAGGGGGUAUGAGCCAGCCUCCAGAGAGGCGUUCCUACAAAUGCAAACCCCCUCCUGAGAUGGAUGAAGGAGUGCAGAAGGCUGAUUGUCUGUGACAUUCCACGGUGACAGAUCAGCAUCAUCCCAAGGAUCCCGUGGAGACUAUACUCAGAAUGCCUGAAACAGAGCAGAACCCAUGGUGGGGACCUAUCUGUGCCAGGGACAUGGGGAAAGGAGGGAACAGAAUAUCUCCUCUCCCCGGAAUCCUGAGGGAGAUCAGGACCCUCUCAGAUUCGCGGGGCAUGAGAAGAAGGGCCUGUUUGCCCAAUGGGAGCAGCCUGACAGCCUUAUCUGCUUUACCAGAGAUGAUCCCCACCUGGGCCUGACCUGAUCUGUUGGCCGGUCCCCACAUGAGCAUCACCUAGACCUGGUGACCGUGGUCCCCAACUGGGCUCAUUGGCUACCAAUCACCAGGAGCCAAGAUGGACCCUCACUUCUACUGAUGCCCUGGUCAGUCCCUAGGGCCUCACAUGUUCCUAGUGACUAUGGUCCUUGUCUGGGCUGACCAGGCUCAUCCUUGGCUCUGAUCCCCUCCUGGGCCUCACCUGGUUCUGAUGCCCCCAGCCAGCUGUCCCCAGGCCUGAUGCCCCCAGCCAUCAGGCUCUGCUCCUCUGAUUUUCAUCUCUGCUUGGGCCCUCACUUCUCAGCUUAGAUUCAGAUCCCUGUUUGGGUCUCACCUCCGUUGGCUGGCUAUGCAUCUGGACAUCUGGAGCACCUGAGGACUAUGAUCCCCACCUGGCCUUACCUGCUCCUACUGGCAACAACACCCACUUGGUUCUCAUUGCCUGGACUCUGCUAUGAUCCUCACCUGGUACAUAAUUGGUGUUACUGCUUAUGAUACCAUUUGGGCCAUACCUGCUGCCACAUACCUAAGUAUACAACCACCUGUGCCUCAUGGGGACCUGGUGACUGUGAUCCCCACCUGGGUUCAUCGGCUACUGGUGUCUAAGAUCCAGGAUGGACCCUCACUUGCUCCUGAUGCCCGGGUCCAUCCCCAGCAUCUCAUUUGUUCCUGGUGGCUGUGGUUCUUGUCUGGGCUGACCUGUCAUGCUGCCUCUGAUCCAUUCCUGGGAUUCACCUGCCCUUGCAGGAGGGGUCCCCACCUCAAGUGGGUUCUCUAGCAUUUAUGGUACUUGUCUGGGCCUCAGCUGAUGGUGAUCGGCUAUGAUACCAGCCCUUUCCAAGGCUAGCAGGGUCUCUAGGUCCUCUUGCCUGGUGCUACAAACCAAACAUAUCCAAGGAUGACACCGCAUGAAAACCUUCAGAGCACGCAUGUGUCUGUGUGCUCCCUGUGGGCAGGUCGCCAUCUGUCUGACCGGAGUGUGGAGACAACACCAUAGCUCCCAGGGGGACAUGCUGGGCUAGAGGAUCACCACGGGCACUGACUGUCUAUAGCUCGCCCACCUACAGUCCGCCUUCCCAGCCAGUGUCCUAGGACAUGCCGUCAUGCUCAGAGGACAGAGUUCUCCCAACCCCUUACUAGGAGCACUAGGGAGCCCAGGAGGUUAGGGGAACUGCUGACCUGAUACUUGGGGUGACGUGUCCCAACUCAGGGCUGGUGCCCAGAUGGUGGUGGAUGGGCCUUCCAGUGAGUGUUCCUGUGGCCUUGGGGCACACUGAAGGUUUUUGUUAGAUUCGACAAGCACAAUGACCAAAGGGAAAAAGGAAUGAACUGGACUUCAUAAAAAUUAACAACUUAUGCCAGCAAAAGUGUGAACAAACUACACACCCUGUAUACAGUGUUUUGUGAAUAGCCUGAGGGAGGAUCGGGGUGGGGGGGACGAGGGCCUCCAUGUUCUAGUUUUUAUUUUUUUUUUAAAGAUUUUAUUUAUCAUGAGAGACACACAGAGAGGCAGAGACACAGGCAGAGGGAGAAGCAGGUUCCAUGCAGGGAGCCCGAUGUGGGACUCGAUCCCGGGUCUCCAGGAUCACACCCUGGACUGAAGGUCGUGCUAAACCACUGGGCCACCGGGGCUGCCCCCAUGUUCUAGUAUGUGAAGAGCAAGCCUGCUCAUAGACCAGAAGGACCCAGAGAGCCCAGAUUGUCCACCCCGGACCACAGGGUGGGGGGAUUGGUCAUCACAUGUCAGGGUCAUGUACCUAGGACAGGCUGAAAAGGUCAUGGCUUGAGUCUCCCCUGCACAGAAGAGGGCUCACAGUGGAGUAGGGGUCUCGGAUGAGCUGCCCUAGCCCUGACAGCAGCCUCCUUCCCUGGCCUGGGGCAGCAGGGAGGCAGCUCUGACCCCAUGGAGCGGUGGAACGGCUCCAGGAGCUGCCUCAUGGGCAUCACACGGGGGUCAGUGCAUUCUCACCCUAACCCAGGAUGCCAGCACCCCUACUGGGACCCUCAGGUGCCACAGUGAACCGAGGUGUGCAGGGAGAAACUCUACUCACCUGUGACCUGUCGCUGUGUGAGUACCUACACUUUAUACACUGGGGUACUGGGUAGAGUGGGAUAGUUCGGGCACUGUGAGCCAGAUCCAGAGCACGAGUGCCUCCCACUGCCUGAGAAUGCAGAGUAGCGCCAGGCAGCAGUGGAACCCUGGGGCGGCACAGUUCCGCCCACAAUGGGGUCCCGUGUCAUCACUGUAGGUCGGGGGGCCAGUCAGUACUAAGCCCGGCACCCUGAAGGCCAAGGGUGCGUGGGGAGGUCCUGUCUCACGCCGGAUGGGAAGGGGUUGCAGGCACCCUCCCACAUCCUUAGUUCCCACCUUCAGGCCCUCCUGGCCUCCCACCCUUCUAGGUAGACUGGGUGUCCCAGCUGUCCUCCCACCCCCAAGGGUUCACAGCAUGGAUUUUGCACUUAAGAACAUUUGAGGGGCUCCUGGGUGGUUCAGUCAGCUAAACAUCUACUCUUGAUUAUGGCUCAGUUCAGGAACUGAGGUUGUGGUGUGGAGCCUCAGGUGGGGCUCGGCCCCGGCAGCAGGGGGAAUCUGCUUCAGAGUCUCCCUUACCCUCUGCCCCUCUCACUGCAUGCUCUCUCAAAUCUUUUAAAAAUCAACAUUGAAGACAUUUGAGAAAUCUUUAUCAUCUCUGCAGAGGUGCUUUCAUAUGUAUAAUGGCUGUGUAAAUGCUUUUUUUUUAAAUUUUCAUUUCUCUGGAAUAAAUUCCCAGGAGUGCUA